rnacentral:rRNA from 1 species
UACGAGUGCCCCGAGCGUUAUCCGGAAUUAUUGGGCGUAAAGAGCGUGUAGGCGGCCAGGUAGGUCAGCUGUGAAAACUCGAGGCUCAACCUCGAGACGCCGGUUGAAACCAUCUGGCUAGAGUCCGGAAGAGGAGAGUGGAAUUCCUGGUGUAGCGGUGAAAUGCGCAGAUAUCAGGAAGAACACCCGUGGCUAAGGCGGCUCUCUAGUACGGUACUGACGCUGAGACGCGAAAGCGUGGGGAGCGAACAGG